GACAUUUAAGUAUGUUAUUGGUGGAUGUACCAACUCCCUUUCCGGCAUCCAAAAUGGCAUCUUGAGGGGAAACCAACGACUCCAUACAAUCUCAUCAGUGUGAAAAGGCAGACGUUUGAAGGAAGCUCUUCCCUAUCCGGAACCUCUUGUCCAUUUUGCACUAGUACGUGGUACCCGAUUCGGGCCAGCUGUUCGAUGCUACUCACCUCGAGAUAUUGAGAAGGAUCUGAUGGAGAAGAUACUUAGAUGGUAAGUUGUAUUGGAAUAAUCCAAUUUUAUCUUUCUGCUAUUUAUAUUUAUUUGAUAUAUUUCUAUUUUUACAAGUGUUUGGUAUAAUUUCUAGUACUUAUUUUUAUUUAUCAUAAAUUAGAAUAAAUCAUAAAUCACAAAUUAUUCUCAAGCUAUUUGUGAUUUGUAUCAACAAAUCAUUUAUGUUGAUUUUUGCGCUACCUUUAAUGAGCACAUGUGCUAAACUGCUCAAACUCAAGGGUAAAUUGGUAACUUCAAUAUGUUUUAUACCUUUCUAAUAAAAAACCCCAAAUCCUAUCAUCUCUAUCGCUCUCGCUCGAAGGAAGGUGAAACAUGAAACCGAUUAUGAUCUUACAUAUCAGCUUGGGCAAACAUGCGUAUCCAACAAGAACUAUGACACGGGUUUGCCCUGCGAAACAUGCCUUGCCGACGGUAACCUUUGGCUGAGAUGUACUUGGUUCAGCCUGUGAUUCCCACAACAAAGAUACAUUUUCCCAUGCUUUCGAAAAUUUCAUCUUUUGUUUUCUUGGAUUUCUUCGUCUUUUUCUGAAUUUCCAGAGUGAGUGGUUGAUGAUUAGGUGAAAAGGCUACCCUUCAAUAGGUAUUCAUGGCUGAUGAUGCACAACUCCUAUGCCCUGUUGGGUGCUAAGCCGACUAAUUGGUUCUGUUAUUCUAUCUCCUGAGAACCAAUAAGAUUCCAUCACUAGUCAGCUCAAUGUAUGUAUGACAAUCUCUAAUGGCUCACAAUGAAAACUCUUUCAAGUAGUUGAAUGAAAUCUGUUUUUAUUUUGGUGCUUUCAAUUUACCAGGAAAUUAUAAGGUAAUGCUAUGGCUAUUUGGUCUUUGAGGAGUUGGUGAAAAUGCUUCCUGUGGGGGAUUGUGGUUCAUAUGCGUGCAUUAAGGUCAAUAUAAACGCAUUAGGAAGCAUCCACAAAGAUAUCAUUUUCUAUUUCAUGAUUGAAUCUUGUUGGUUUAGCAUAGGCAAGACCAGCGCAGUGUGAGGGGCCAAUGGAAUUGUUAUAUGAUAUUCUCCUUCCACCUUUAUCCUUCAGGUUCCCUGGGGAUUUUGGCAUGUAUGAAGUGGAAGUGUUGAAUCUUGAAUGUGAAUGAGAACCUCUUUACUAGUCGUCUCAACUUGAAAGUGGGUAAAACUAGACUGGAGUGUUUGUAUGAGCGCCAAUCAAUCUGAUGGCAAACGCCUCUCCUUGUGCAACCGAAGCUAAUUAAACUC